rnacentral:rRNA from 1 species
AUGAACGCUGGCGGCGUGCUUAACACAUGCAAGUCGAACGAUGAUGCCAGCUUGCUGGUGGAUUAGUGGCGAACGGGUGAGUAACACGUGAGUAACCUGCCCUUGACUCUGGGAUAAGCCUGGGAAACCGGGUCUAAUACUGGAUACGACCUUCCCGCGCAUGCGGUGUUGGUGGAAAGCUUUUGCGGUUUUGGAUGGACUCGCGGCCUAUCAGCUUGUUGGUGGGGUAAUGGCCUACCAAGGCGACGACGGGUAGCCGGCCUGAGAGGGUGACCGGCCACACUGGGACUGAGACACGGCCCAGACUCCUACGGGAGGCAGCAGUGGGGAAUAUUGCACAAUGGGCGCAAGCCUGAUGCAGCGACGCCGCGUGAGGGAUGAAGGCCUUCGGGUUGUAAACCUCUUUCAGUAGGGAAGAAGCGAAAGUGACGGUACCUGCAGAAGAAGCGCCGGCUAACUACGU